rnacentral:tRNA from 1 species
GCGGGAGUGGUGAAAUUGGCAGACACGCAGGAUUUAGGUUCCUGUGCCUUCGGGCGUGGGGGUUCAACUCCCCCCUUCCGCACAA